GAGGCUCUGGGAAAGGAGGACAGUGGUUAGGUCCACUGGCCCUCUGCAUAGUUAGCAUCAGGGUCGGGGUUGGAGUCAGGGGGUGGUGGGUGCACACAGACCAAGCUAUGAAAGCCAGUUUCUGCUCUUGCGCUACUGUGCACCUUCUAAGCUUCAAUAACCCAGACCAGAGCAGGAAGAGUAGGAGGGUGGAUGUGGCCAGGGCAGGAAGUUGCUAACCGCCCCAGGGCAGGUGCUGGGGGAGGGGUUCUAGUGAGAAGGAAGAAGGAAUGCCAAUUAUAAAGGCCAGAAGGUGCAGAAAGGCCGAGUAUGAUUGUUUAUGUGAGUACACUGUAGCUGUCUUCAGACACAUCAGAAGAGGGCAUCAGAUCCCAUUACAGAUGGUUGUGGGAAUUGAACUCAGGACCUCUGGAAGAACAGCCAGUGCUCUUAACAGCUGAGCCAUCUCUCCUGCCCCCUAAUAAGUGGAGAGAGGAAGGAAGGCGGCCACCCUCACCGCAACCCCAGCUGACUACAUUUUCCAGGGUUCUUUUUCCUGAGUCCACUGGAGUCGCAAGCUUUCAUCUAGAGAAAGAAGAGUCCCAGGAGGCCGCUGUCACUAACCAUUGGUGUUUAAGACAUGGCUGUCACUCAUCAGGACAGUGUCAUUUCUGACUCCUGUGGCCAGUCUUCCUGCCCAGCCCUUCUCCAC